rnacentral:lncRNA from 1 species
UAGUCUAUCUCUCUUAUUUCUUGUAAUAUAUUGAUUCGAGUUAAACUCUCUUCCCUUUUAAUUCUCUUCUCUUUCAUCUCUCCCAAUUCCACCACCAGCAGCAACAGAGGAUUCCACAUCUUGUGAUCGUAAUCAAACCUUUAUACGAGCAAGUCAUCCAAUUACUCAAAUAUCAACAUCUUAAAUCCAAUCAGACUAAUCAAAAACAACAAAAUUACUCACUAAAUUGACAAACUUUUGCUGUAGAUUCACUUCAAAUCCAAUUUCCCAAACCUAAACAAAAUACCCAUUUCAUCAAAAUCCC